rnacentral:misc_RNA from 1 species
AAUCCUAGGAUUCAGAAAUUGAAACUUAAGAAAAGCGAUAAGCAAUGGCAAAGCUACUGAUACAACCGAGGAAAAAGGUCUCCGAGACUACGCUUCGUAGGAACAAAUGUUCUCAAAUCCCAUGUAUUCAUGGUUUUCAAUCUUCACUAUCAUGUUUGCUAUACCAACCCCACCUAGUGAUAUUGCACUCACAAAUAUUGUGAAUGACAGAAUGAAGAUGAUUAGAGAUGCUCUCCCUAGUAUACUGAUAAUCUUUCUUACCACGUGCUGCCCUAUGAAGGCCGCGACAGUUGCCACAGCGACAAAGUAUAGAGCAUAAGGAACUGGAAAACGUUUCAAGAGAUAAUACUCUAUGACAGACAUAGAUGCAGAAAAUGUCAUGGCAAAUGUAGCUGUGGCACUUGACACCUGUGGAGGGACUCCCAACUCCAGAAAAAGUGGUCCCAAAAUGAAUCCUCCACCAAGACCAAGCAGCCCACCAACCACACCAGCCAAUACGCCACAGCAACAAUAAAGAACCAGCUGGUGUACUUUCCAAUUUGUGCCUGCCUCUCCCUUUGAUGCUAUCUUCCUCCGCCCUUUGUACAAGCUAACCGCCUGAUAUGAAGAAACCCCAAGAGCAACUGGAAUCUGCAAUAGAUUGCAAACCCAAUAUGCCACUGAACAAGUUGUUGUAUUAUUCUUGGUAAUCUCUAAUGUGAGGAUAAUCAACCACACAGCGAAGAGAAUUCCAAGUUCCUUCCAUUGAACAUUCUCAAGAACAGAAACCUCUUCUCUUUUAGACUCAUUGGAUUCUGGUCUUGCACCAUUGCUGGGACCUCCAGGAAGAGGUUUGUAUUCCACUUCUUCACUACCAUCACCAUUUGAAGCCAAUCGUCUAGCUGCCUCCUUUUUUAUAAUAGUUUCUUUUUUCCAUGUUUCUACACCUUUGAAGAAAGCCUUAGUUGAUGUGCCUAAGAAGAGAAUAAUUAGCAGAACUGUGAUCAUCCAGUCAGCAAAAAUCACAUUGAAAGCAACACCAACGCUGAUUCCCAGCACCAGCACUGGUUGGAACAAGAGUGCCAAGUCAUAGUCAAUUAUGGGCAAAUCAAGUGUUGGAUGCCUAAGCUUUAAAUUAUAGUAAACUGUUGAAGCUGCUGCACCAGUAAUCAUACAUUUUGAUAUUGCAGUCGAUGAUUUUGCAUCAAACCCAAUAAUCAAGGUGAGCAUGGGAACAAAAAUACCACCCCCACCAACACCACCCACGCUUCCAAAUGCUGCUCCAAAGAAUCCAAUUAUGCUACCCACCACAAUUUGCCAACCAAAUUUCAUUUCAGGCCAAACAUGUGUAUAAUCCAAUUG